rnacentral:lncRNA from 1 species
UGACAGCCCUACCUCUCCCAUAACUCCGUUUUCUCCUCAGAUCGGUUCCGCCAGCGCUUGGUGAAGCCCUACAGGCACUGCUCCACCAUCAUAUCCACCAUGCCAACAUGCUGGUUGAGAUCCCAUCUACUUCUCCUUCGUCUCUUUCUGGAUCAAGAAGGAGGAUCCGUCAUCGAGACGUAUGAGUGCUGAACGCGAAGGUGUCAUCCAUUCGGCGCUAGAUCGGGAAGGAUCAUGAUGAGAUUGCGGGACGGAUCGUGAUGAGAUCAUGGGACGGGCUGCGAUUUGGAUUGCGAAGAUGUUCCACUACAUCAACCGCGUCAUAUAUGCUUCCUCUUAGCGAUCUACAAGGGUAUGUAGAUUCACCCUCUCCGCUGGUAAAUGAUCAUCA